rnacentral:rRNA from 1 species
UACACACCGCCCGUCACAUCACGAAAGCCAGUUGUACUGGAAGCCGGUAAUUCAACCGUAAGGAGAUAGCCGUCCAAGGUAUGACUGGUGAUUGGGGUG